AAGCAACAUAACACAAAACGACCCUGGAGAUUUGUGUAAUGAGAUGGUGCACCUGUUUUCGUGCCGGCGACGAAUGCCCUCCAAAAAUAAAAGAUGGAUAAUUCCGAAAAAGGAAAUUAGCUUCGCUCUUGCAUGCUGGGUGGUCCAUCUGAUUUUAGUUAAGAAUAUUUACUGCACCCGAACUUGAUUGAUAUAAUAAAAUUAAUUUUAAACUUAAAAUUAGUUAUAAAAUAUAAAA